GACGAACACUGGCGGCGUGCCUAAUACAUGCAAGUCGAGCGGACAGAAGGGAGCUUGCUCCCGGAAGUUAGCGGCGGACGGGUGAGUAACACGUGGGCAACCUACCCUGUAGAUCGGGAUAACAUCGAGAAAUCGGUGCUAAUACCGGAUAAUCAUUUGAAGUGCAUGCUUCGAAUGUGAAAGAUGGCUCCGGCUAUCACUACGGGAUGGGCCCGCGGCGCAUUAGCUGGUUGGUAAGGUAAUGGCUUACCAAGGCAACGAUGCGUAGCCGACCUGAGAGGGGGAUCGGCCACACUGGGACUGAGACACGGCCCAGACUCCUACGGGAGGCAGCAGUAGGGAAUCUUCCGCAAUGGACGAAAGUCUGACGGAGCAACGCCGCGUGAGUGAUGAAGGUUUUCGGAUCGUAAAGCUCUGUUGUUAGGGAAGAACAAGUGCCGUUUGAAUAAGGCGGCACCUUGACGGUACCUAACCAGAAAGCCACGGCUAACUACGUGCCAGCCGCCGCGGUAACAC
rnacentral:rRNA from 1 species